rnacentral:rRNA from 1 species
CUAAGAAUAUUCCGCAAUGGACGGAAGUCUGACGGAGCGACGCCGCGUGGAUGAAGAAGGCCGAAAGGUUGUAAAGUUCUUUUGCUGGGGAAGAAUAACCGCAGGAGGGAAUGCCUGUGGGAUGACAAGAACCGGCGAAUAAGCCCCGGCCAACUACGUGCCAGCAGCCGCGGUAACACGUAGGGGGCGAGCGUUGUUCGGAAUUACUGGGCGUAAAGGGCAUGUAGGCGGCUUGGAAAGCCUGGCGUGAAAGUCUGCAGCUUAACUGCAGGGGUGCGCUGGGAACUGCUGAGCUUGAGUGACGGAGAGGGAGCUGGAAUUCCUGGUGUAGGGGUGAAAUCUGUAGAUAUCAGGAAGAACACCGAUGGCGAAGGCAAGCUCCUGGCCGAUGACUGACGCUGAGGUGCGAAAGUGUGGGGAUCAAACAGGAUUAGAUACCCUGGUAGUCCACACAGUCAACGAUGUGCACUAGGUGCUGGGGCGGUAGCUUCGGUGCCGGAGCGAACGUGGUAAGUGCACCGCCUGGGGAGUAUGCUCGCAAGGGUGAAACUC